rnacentral:rRNA from 1 species
GAUGAACGCUGGCGGCGUGCUUAACACAUGCCAGUCGAACGGAAAGGCCCAAGCUUGCUUGGGUACUCGAGUGGCGAACGGGUGAGUAACACGUGGGUGAUCUGCCCUGCACUUCGGGAUAAGCCUGGGAAACUGGGUCUAAUACCGGAUAGGACGAUGGUUUGGAUGCCAUUGUGGAAAGUUUUUUCGGUGUGGGAUGAGCUCGCGGCCUAUCAGCUUGUUGGUGGGGUAAUGGCCUACUAAGGCGUCGACGGGUAGCCGGCCUGAGAGGGUGUACGGCCACAUUGGGACUGAGAUACGGCCCAGACUCCUACGGGAGGCAGCAGUGGGGAAUAUUGCACAAUGGGCGCAAGCCUGAUGCAGCGACGCCGCGUGGGGGAUGACGGCCUUCGGGUUGUAAACUCCUUUCGCUAGGGACGAAGCGUUUUUGUGACGGUACCUGAAGAAGAAGCACCGGCUAACUACGUG